rnacentral:rRNA from 1 species
CCUACGGGAGGCAGCAGUAGGGAAUUUUCGGCAAUGGGGGGAACCCUGACCGAGCAACGCCGCGUGAACGAAGAAGUUAUUCGUAAUGUAAAGUUCUUUUAACAGGGAAGAAAGAUAAAUUUGACGGUACCUGAAGAAUAAGCUCCGGCUAACUACGUGCGCGCAGCCGGGGUAAUACGUAGGGAUCGAGCGUUAGACGGAAGUAUUGGGCGGAUAGGAGGGGUAGAUGGCAUAGAAAGUCGUGUGUAAAAAUGCUGGGCUCAACCCAGUAGGGCAAUAGAUACUGGAAAGCUAGAGUAUGACAGAGGUAAGUGGAACUACAGGUGUAGCGGUGAAAUGCGUAGAUAUAAGUAAGAACACCAGUGGCGAAGGCGGCUUACUGGGUCGAUACUGACAUUGAGGCACGAAAGCGUGGGGAGCAAACAGGAUUAGAUACCCCGGUAGUC